CGAUUUUCCUUCUUGCAGCGGUCCCCCACCUCUCCUCCCCUCCUCCACCGAAGCACACUCGCAGGUCUCUCGUUUGGCUUCAUUUAUAAGGCAGUCUGGUUGCGGGGUUUUAUGCUGCGCCCCCCCCCCCUUUCCUCUCUCCCUUUGAAUCUAGAUUGGUUUGUUUUGCAGUUAAAGCCUUCCCUUUGAUUUCUCUCCCCCCACUCCCUUUCUGCUGCGGGCAGGAGGCUCUUGCUUAGCUGGGGCUCGCAUUUCCUCUCUCUCCUUCGCAGCCAGAAGCUCCGGAGCAGGAGGAGCCGCAGCUUCGACUGAUCCCUGGAAAAUUACGAGUUAGUGGUUUGGGGUUUUGUUUUUGGGCUCUUGUUUUUUUAACUUCAAGGACUGCAGCUAACUGGUCUCCUUGGAUAUUUCACUGUUGAAUUCCAUCUGAGUCCAGAGCCCCGUCUCUCUGGCUCCAUUCUUGUAGCUGGUUUCGUGGAAAAGUUAAAAUAAAGAGCAGUUGCCAAGAUCAUAGAGGGCCAAGAAAUGAUCAUAACCCUGGAGAGUAUAAAUAUCCAUGGCGAAGUUGUGUGAGAACAGCAUUCGUUGCUACCAGCUGCGCUGAGACCUUACAAUUCAUUGCACCUAGUGAUAGCUGUCAUUUCCCUCCCUCCCUGUUGGUAUUUUUAAAAUAUAUAAUUUAUUUUCCACAAGCAAGUUUUUGACGAGUUUUAGCUUCUGGUGGACUUGCUGAUUUUGAGAGGUAAGUGUUAAGUUUUAGCACUGGAUUUUUGACUGUUUUAAACCUUUUUUGUGUGUAUCAAAAAUCUCUGUG
rnacentral:lncRNA from 1 species